AAAAACCCAAAUCUUUGUAAUUCCUCCAUACAAGGACUGUUCAAAUGUUCUAUUCACAAUGUCUCCUUUAAAAUUAUGCCACGUUCCAGAUAACAUUUAUCUGUCCUUCAGGGUUUUUUUUUUUUAAAUUUUUAUUUUGUAGAUAAAGUUUUACCCAGAAGCACAUGCAACACAUAUCCUGUAAGAAGGAGCACUUGACAUUUAGUUCCACACAAUGGCACAGCACAUAAUCUCAAUUGCUUGAAGUUUCUAGACAGUGCCUAGCACACUGGAUACACUCGUCACUCCCUGUGCUAGGAAGAGUCCUCAAAUGCUUUCUUAGGGAAGGGCACUAAGCAAGAGAGGCUCUCACAACCCCCUUUGCAUGGUGUGUGUGCUGCCUCCGGUGGCUUGAAGGUGUCCUCUCCAUUGGCCUUUAAUUAGUCCUCAUGUGUUCAGCAGGAGAGAAAGGCAAGGAUCAGACCAGAGAGCUGCUGAAGGGAGGAUGGCUUUCAAGUACAGUUCCCUUCAAUCAUCGUGUCCUGGAUUCUACCUUGUCAGCUUUGCUGAAUAAGCUAAGCCGUCCUUAUAUGGCAUGACACACAAACUAGUUACUUUCAACUCAUCCUGAAUUGUAUAUUUGAACAUAUAUUGGUGAUAGUCAUAUCUUCUAUAUUUCUCUGUCUGAGAAAGUUAUUUGGGGAUUUUUUAGAGUUGAAAUGGGAUGCCUCAAUAUUUCCACCCAUUUACUUAAAUUGAACAAUGUCUUUAAAUUUUACAGUUUUUCACUCAGUGGCAGAUUUUCUGGGGUCAAACAAAAUCCUUAAGAAAAAAAUGAGCAUUUAGGGAAAGAGACAUGAAUAUAGCAGAUGGGUCACCGGUGGUUGAUGUUAACCUGUGCUCUAACUCUGAAAACAACAAAUGUCAGUUGAUUGAAAGAUGUGGUUUAUUUAGCUCUAGCAGGUGUAUGCAGUAGGAGAAUGGCCAUAGGGGUUGGUCUACCAACUGUGUGUGUGCGUGCCACAAGGGUUUUCUCUCAAUGCCAGCAUUCCCCCCAGGAAGAAGGGAUUAGGCUCAUGAGACCCUGGAAGUAAACUUCAUAUAGCUGGAAAGCUGAAAGUUACACAGUUCAUGAGGACCCCUACCCAAGGUUGUAGAAGCAGUAGACAUCAGCUAGAGGAGGCGACUUUGACUGACCCUAGUUGUGGACAGGGCCAGUUGGAACUCACCGUAAGUCAUAUAGCGAGCUACAGAGUUGCAGCUUUUGAGAAUCUUCACCCGUGUUGGGUGGACUCUUCCGUGAUACAGCUGCAUUUGGUUCCCCCCUACUCCUGUAAGGAACUCCUCCCCCGAUGUCCCUGUAAGUAACCCCAAUAAGCUUAUUGGUUCACUAAGCCCGACUUCGGCGGAAUAGUUUCUCUUGGUCUGUCUUCAGCUCCGCUUUCACGGUGAGUAGAUGUAUGUGUGCCAUGCCUCCCCGGGAAAAAUCUCAACCUAAUGAGAGUUAAUACACACUGCAUAACUCCCUAAACAUCAUCAAUAUCAACAGAAAUACAUAAUCUCAUGAAACUGAGGGAAGUCCUAGAAAAACAGCUCAAAGCAUUGAGCAUUUUUGUCUCCGGAAAUGAACACUGGAUUUCAUGGGACUGUCUGGCUUUUCAGUCAGUAAUAACUAUUUUUAUGAAAUCUUUAGUUAGCGUACACAAUAAAGGACUUCAUUAUGACAUUCUUAUACAUGUGUAUCAUUGAGCCUUGCUCAUGUUCAGGUAAUAAAUAUUCAUUAGGGAAUGCUUAGGAAAUUCAAAUAUGGAACCAAAGUAAAAUAGAACGAUUUAUAACAAUGUACAAACCCAGAACAGCUAUCCGUGAAGCAGUGAUGUGAUGGUUUUGUCUUUCUGUUUUGUACACAGGCACGCACAGUUGAGAAAUAAAGGCGAGCUCAUGCUGUAAAUAUUGCUUUUCAGUCUGCAUUUAAAGUAUUGUGGGGACACAUUCAGUUUGCUUUUAUGGUGUGUGGUCUGUGUCACACAUAGAGCACUAGCUAUGUGUAAACGGGAACUCUUGAAAUACUCCUAUGAAACUGCAGGGUUACAGGUUCAGUGCUUCAGUACAAACAUGUCCGAGGAAAAAGACGUCAGAAUUUCGCUGGAGCAGAGAAGUGAUUCGAAAGAUUACACAGCCGAUUGCUAAGGACAGAAAGUUCUUCUCGUCAUGAGGGACACAAAUAGGCUUGGAUGUCUAUCAGAUGCAACUGGAAACACUCCUCAAAAAGCCAUGCACUCUUAGUAAUGACUGCAAAGGAAGCUUCGUGUCUAGGGACAGUAAUGGAGCAGUAUCAUGAUGCCCACGGUUGUGGAGUCGUAUCUGGACGGACACAGAAGGUAAGCAAAUGUCCAUCCAAAGUCACGGCCUUUCUGUGCUACAGCUACCAAUAAUGGAAAGGAAGAAAGGAAGGGAGAGAGAGAGAGAGAGAGAGAGAGCCUAUUUACCGAGCUGUGGAGAAGACUCAGCUAACUUUCUAUUCUCUUUAUAAAACAAGAAUAUUUCAAAGUCAUAAGUGAGCAGAGUGUGCAGUCAAAAGACAAAAAAAGAGGAAAAAUACACAUGACUGUAAAUUAAUUUUUAAAAAGUCAUUUUUUUUUCUGAAUGUUGUGAUGCUUGUAGUAUUUUUGUCAGCUGUUUAAAGCUGCGUAAACUUUGUAGUUUCUUUCCUCCUUAUAAAUCAGUAUUCACCCAGG